GACGAACGCUGGCGGCGUGCUUAACACAUGCAAGUCGAACGGAAAGGCCCUGAUUUUGUGGGGUGCUCGAGUGGCGAACGGGUGAGUAACACGUGAGUAACCUGCCCUUGACUUUGGGAUAACUCCAGGAAACUGGGGCUAUUACCGGAUAGGAGCUCCUGCUGCAUGGUGGGCGUUGGAAAGUUUCGGCGGUAGGGGAUGGACUCGCGGCUUAUCAGCUUGUUGGUGGGGUAGUGGCAUACCAGGGCUUCGACGGGUAGCCGGCCUGAGAGGUUGACCGGCCACAUUGGGACUGAGGUACGGCCCAGACGCCUACGGGAGGCAGCGGUGGGGAAUAUUGCACAGUGGGCGGGAGCCUGAUGCAGCAGCGCCGCGUGCGGGAUGACGGCCUUCGGGUUGUAAACCGCUUUCGCCUGUGACGAAGCGUGAGUGACGGUAAUGGGUAAAGAAGCACCGGCUAACUACGUG
rnacentral:rRNA from 1 species